CCUACGGGUGGCAGCAGUCGGGAAUUUUGGGCAAUGGCCGAAAGGGCUGACCCAGCAACACCGCGUGAGUGAAGAAGGCCUUCGGGUUGUAAAGCUCUGUUGCCCGUGAAGAACGGUGCAGUCAGGAAAUGGACUGUACUUGACGGUAGCGGGAGAGGAAGCUCCGGCUAACUACGUGCCAGCAGCCGCGGUAAUACGUAGGGAGCGAGCGUUGUCCGGAUUUAUUGGGCGUAAAGGGCGUGUAGGCGGCCUGUUAAGUCUGAAGUGAAAAUCCAGGGCUCAACCCUGGAACUGCUUCGGAUACUGAUGGGCUUGAGUGCUCUAGAGGGUAGUGGAAUUGCCGGUGUAGCAGUGAAAUGCGUAGAGAUCGGCAGGAACACCAGUGGCGAAGGCGACUGCCUGGGGAGUAACUGACGCUGAGGCGCGAAAGCUGGGGGAGC
rnacentral:rRNA from 1 species